rnacentral:rRNA from 1 species
GGUAGAUAGGAAGAAAAUUCUAAGGCCAACGGGAGAAGGGUAGUUAAGGAACUCGGCAAGUUGACCCCGUAACUUAGGGAUAAGGGGUGCUCUCGAAAGAGAGCCGCAGAGAAUAGGCCCAGGCGACUGUUUAGCAAAAACACAGCUCUAUGCUAAAUCGAAAGAUGAUGUAUAUGGGGUGACACCUGCCCGGUGCCGGAAGGUUAAGAGGAGGAGUGAGAGCUCUGAAUUGAAGCCCCGGUAAACGGCGGCCGUAACAAUAACGGUCCUAAGGUAGCGAAAUUCCUUGUCAGGUAAGUUCUGACCCGCACGAAUGGUGUAACGAUCUGGGCACUGUCUCAACUACCCGCCCGGCGAAAUUGUAGUACCGGUGAAGAUGCCGGUUACCCGCGACUAGACGGAAAGACCCCAUGGAGCUUUACUGUAGCUUAAUGUUGAAUUUCGGUAUUUCAUGUACAGGAUAGGUGGGAGACUAAGAAGCAGGGGCGUCAGCUUCUGUGGAGUCAACCUUGGGAUACCACUCUUGAAGUGCUGGAAUUCUAACCUGCGGCCGUGAAUCCGGUCGGGGGACAUCGUUAGGUGGGCAGUUUGACUGGGGCGGUCGCCUCCCAAAGAGUAACGGAGGCGCUCAAAGGUUCGCUCAGCAUGGACGGAAACCAUGCUCUUGAGUGUAAACGCAAAAGCGAGCCUAACUGCGAGACUGACGGGUCGAGCAGUAACGAAAGUUGGAGUUAGUGAUCCGGCGGUAUGUGAGUGGAAAUGCCGUCGCUCAACGGAUAAGAGCUACCCGGGGGAUAACAGGCUGAUCUCCCCCAAGAGUCCACAUCGACGGGGAGGUUUGGCACCUCGAUGUCGGCUCAUCGCAUCCUGGGGCUGUAUUCGGUCCCAAGGGUUUGGCUGUUCGCCAAUUAAAGCGGUACGCGAGCUGGGUUCAGAACGUCGUGAGACAGUUCGGUCCCUAUCUGUCGUGGGCGUAGGAUAUUUGAAAGGAGCUGUCCCUAGUACGAGAGGACCGGGAUGGACGCACCUCUAGUGCACCAGUUGUCACGCCAGUGGCACAGCUGGGCAGCUAAGUGCGGAUCGGAUAAACGCUGAAGGCAUCUAAGCGUGAAGCCGUCCUUAAGAUAAGAUAUCCCAUCAGGUCAACUGAGUAAGACCCCUCAAAGACUAUGAGGUUGAUAGGCCUAAGGUGUACGCAUGGUGACAUGUUCAGCCUGCAGAUACUAAUCGGUCGAGGGCUUGACC